rnacentral:rRNA from 1 species
AGUGAACGCUGGCGGUAGGCCUAACACAUGCAAGUCGAACGGCAGCACAGUAAGCGCUUGCUCUUACGGGUGGCGAGUGGCGGACGGGUGAGGAAUACAUCGGAAUCUACUUUUUCGUGGGGGAUAACGUAGGGAAACUUACGCUAAUACCGCAUACGACCUACGGGUGAAAGCAGGGGAUCUUCGGACCUUGCGCGUUUGAAUGAGCCGAUGUCGGAUUAGCUAGUUGGCGGGGUAAGGGCCCACCAAGGCGACGAUCCGUAGCUGGUCUGAGAGGAUGAUCAGCCACACUGGAACUGAGACACGGUCCAGACUCCUACGGGAGGCAGCAGUGGGGAAUAUUGGACAAUGGGCGCAAGCCUGAUCCAGCCAUACCGCGUGGGUGAAGAAGGCCUUCGGGUUGUAAAGCCCUUUUGUUGGGAAAGAAAAGCAGCAGGUUAAUACCCCGCUGUUCUGACGGUACCCAAAGAAUAAGCACCGGCUAACUUCGUG